rnacentral:rRNA from 1 species
GGGGCACACCCCCCCCGUCACCCAUCGCCGUGAUCGUGAUNGAANNCCUUCGUUUUCUAAACUAACUUUCAUCGAGGAGGACGGGACUUAUAGUUGNUACAUCUNGCUCAGUGACCCUACCUACCCCANGAAGCACCGCU